rnacentral:lncRNA from 1 species
CCAGAUCUUUCCAUAUCCGUGCAAAUAGAGCUGAUGCCAAAAGGUGAUCAGAAGAUGAAGGAACCUCAAGAAACUUGCCCCCUACCAAAGUCAAGUCCUUUAAAUAAGUGAGUUUAAGAAAUACUUGCUGGAAACCUUAACAAUGGAAUUCGGUAUGUAAAUUAGUGCUCUGUUUUCUGUCACAUCAAGAAGUUAUCGCUGACAGGAUGCCUCGCUGGAAGUGAAAUCUCAACACUAGGUAACUUCAUCUUUCUCUUCUUUAGAGUGAGACAUUGACGGUUUACUCAAUCUGAACGCAUUUUCUCUUCUAUGUUGACUGCAAGUGCAGGGACCGUCCGUGGUGCAUUUACACAUGCCCAGUUUCUACUACGAAUGACUAUCAGUACUCCUACGUAUCAAUUGAAGAGAUUACUAGUCCUGUUACGGCUUUUUCAGAACUGCUGGGAGCAAAGCAUCAAUCUCCAUUUCCAUAGAGCUAGGCACAAGAAAAAGGAGGAUGUAGUGUAUUUUCAGACAUCGGGGGAGCAAGAGCAAGCAUAACAUGCCCUCUGUUACAUCGAUGGAUAAGCCAAGUCCUCUGGAAUAUCUUCACUAAGGACCGUUACUUUGCAUGAGCUACUGUGGUCAGUCAGCCGUAAUGCGUAUGACUUUCCAAAGGUGCUGUCAAGCAACAUGUGCUGGCCUACAGCCAGCUCUGAGAGGGGGCUUUGAAUGAACCGUGGUUCCACAGGACAAUAAAUCUGAUUUUAGUGCACCUAGGACUGAGUCA